rnacentral:lncRNA from 1 species
GGCUAUAAAGAUGUUAAAUUGGCAUGUAUCAAUACUACUAAAAGAAAAUGCUGCAUAACUUCUCCAAUCAAAAUGACCACAAUCUCUUUUGGAUCAGUGGUGGGUUUAAUUUGCAUUUAUUCAAAUCUAUUUGCUAAUCUGUUAACACCCUAAAUAUAUAAAACAGCAUACAUAAUUCUCAAUAGUUACAAAUUUAAAAUAAUUAAACCUUGCUCGAGCCAUUAUUACGUGGCAUCCAUUAGAGCUAACGCCUGUGCUACCAGACUAGAAUUUGGAUGAAGGGAAUUUCUUUUUCUGAUGCCUGAAUCACCAUUCCCUUGGUGCCUUCUUUUCCAGAAAUACCAUCAUAAAAAUUGUGGGGCAUGCAAGAGAAAGGAAAGGGGGAAAAAAAAUAUUUCCCUUCAAAUUUUUACUGUGAGAAAUCAAAGAGAUAAAAUAGGGUAAACUGAAAUGGGGACUGAAUCUGGUUGCAGAAAGAUCAUUUCUGUGAUAUCUUUUUCUUUUCGAUACAAAACAAAAUUCUUUUCAGUGAUCAGUGCAAGUAAGUAGUGGACAGGAAUGAAAGUUUAAAUUCCAC